rnacentral:rRNA from 1 species
AACGACUCUCGGCAACGGAUAUCUCGGCUCACGCAUCGAUGAAGAACGUAGCAAAAUGCGAUACUUGGUGUGAAUUGCAGAAUCCCGUGAACCAUCGAGUUUUUGAACGCAAGUUGCGCCAGAAGCCAUCYGGUUGACGGCACGCCUGCCUGGGCGUCACGCA